UACGUAGGUGGCUAGCGUUGUCCGGAUUUACUGGGCGUAAAGAGCGCGCAGGCGGUCGGCCAAGUCGAGUGUGAAAGCCCCCGGCUCAACUGGGGGAGGGUCAUUCGAUACUGGUCGACUCGAAGGCAGGAGAGGGAAGCGGAAUUCCCGGUGUAGUGGUGAAAUGCGUGAGAUAUCGGGAGGAACACCAGUGGCGAAGGCGGCUUCCUGGCCUGUUCUUGACGCUGAGGCGCGAAAGCUAGGGGAGCAAACGGG
rnacentral:rRNA from 1 species